UGAGUACGAGACGCUAAGGCGUUGAAGCAGUCUAUGUCAGACUUCCAAGAAAAGCUCGCAAUGUCAUAAACAAAGAAUGCCUGUACCAUAACCGACACAGGUGGGUAGGUACAGUAUACUAAGGGGCGCGAGAUAACUCUCUCUAAGGAACUCGGCAAAAUGACUCCGUAACUUCGGGAGAAGGAGUGCCUUAUUUUUAUAAGGUUGCAAUAACAAGAUCCAAGCAACUGUUUACCAAAAACACAGGUCUCCGCUAAGUCGUAAGACGAUGUAUGGGGGCUGACGCCUGCCCAGUGCCAGAAGGUUAAAGAAGUUGGUUAGUUUUCCGCGAAGCUGAUGACUGAAGCCCUGGUGAACGGCGGCCGUAACGAUAACGGUCCUAAGGUAGCGAAAUUCCUUGUCGGGUAAGUUCCGACCCGCACGAAAGGCGUAAUGAUUUGGAUACUGUCUCGGAGAGGGGCUCGGUGAAAUAGACUUGUCUGUGAAGAUGCGGACUACCUGCACCUGGACAGAAAGACCCUAUGAAGCUUUACUGUAACUUGAGAUUGAAAUUGGACUUUAUUUGCGCAGUAUAGGUGGGAGACGUUGAGAAUAUUCUUGCGGGAAUAUUGGAGUCAUCAGUGAGAUACCACUCUUGUAAUGUUAGAUUUCUAACUUUGGAUCAUGAUCUGGUCAAAGGACAGUUUCAGGCGGGCAGUUUGACUGGGGCGGUCGCCUCCCAAACGGUAACGGAGGCGCACAAAGGUUUCCUCUGAACGUGUAGAAAUCGUAUCUAGAGUGUAAAGGCAUAAGGAAGCUUGACUGUGAGACCUACAAGUCGAGCAGGGACGAAAGUCGGUCUUAGUGAUCUGACGGUGCUGAGUGGAAAGGCCGUCACUCAACGGAUAAAAGUUACUCUAAGGAUAACAGGCUGAUCUCCCCCAAGAGUUCACAUCGACGGGGAGGUUUGGCACCUCGAUGUCGGCUCAUCGCAUCCUGGGGCGGUAGUACGUCCCAAGGGUUGGGCUGUUCGCCCAUGAAAGCGGUACGCGAGCUGGGUUCAGAACGUCGUGAGACAGUUCGGUCCAUAUCCGGUGUAGGCGUUAGAAUAUUGAGAGGAGCCUUCUUUAGUACGAGAGGACCGAGAAGGACAUACCUCUGGUGUACCAGUUAUCGUGCCAACGGUAAACGCUGGGUAGCUAUGUAUGGAGUGGAUAACCGCUGAAAGCAUCUAAGUGGGAAGCCCACCUCAAGAUAAGUAUUCUCA
rnacentral:rRNA from 1 species